GACGAACGCUGGCGGCGUGCCUAAUACAUGCAAGUCGAGCGAAUCACUGGGAGCUUGCUCCCGGUGGUUAGCGGCGGACGGGUGAGUAACACGUGGGCAACCUGCCUGUAAGACUGGGAUAACACCGGGAAACCGGUGCUAAUACCGGAUAAUCCUUUUCCUCUCAUGAGGAAAAGCUGAAAGUCGGUUUCGGCUGACACUUACAGAUGGGCCCGCGGCGCAUUAGCUAGUUGGUGAGGUAACGGCUCACCAAGGCGACGUUGCGUAGCCGACCUGAGAGGGUGAUCGGCCACACUGGGACUGAGACACGGCCCAGACUCCUACGGGAGGCAGCAGUAGGGAAUCUUCCACAAUGGACGAAAGUCUGAUGGAGCAACGCCGCGUGAGCGAUGAAGGCCUUCGGGUCGUAAAGCUCUGUUGUUAGGGAAGAACAAGUACCGGAGUAACUACCGGUACCUUGACGGUACCUAACCAGAAAGCCACGGCUAACUACGUGCCAGCCGCCGCCGUAAUAC
rnacentral:rRNA from 1 species